ensembl:lncRNA
UCAGAGCGUCAUCGGGUGACAGGAACUUCAUCUUACGAAAGCAUGACGGAUGACGGAUCAGGGACUGUAAACAGUUGAAGGUGGCCUCGAAAUAUCGCCGGCUGUUCUUCGACAUCUUCAUAGGCGACACACAAUGAAGAUGGCCGACAACCGUCUCACCGUCACUCCUGGGUACUUUACUGGGACUUGCCAUUAUGAACUGGGUAUCCCAAGUGAGAUCUUGAGGCAGUGGCAUGGGCUAUUUAUGGAGGCAUGCAGUGUUGCCAGAUCAGAUUGACAGUUUCCAGCCCAAUCACAUCUUG